CUCCGCGGCUCACUCCAGUGACGUCACUGGAGGCGGGGCCCGGACCCUCGGAGCGUGCCCUCCGCGGAGGCGGCUGGAGGGUCCGGGGGCCUGUGGGACCUCGGAACUUUUUCGGUGCGUCAGACUAAAAAAGUGAGCGUUUUGCUCUACGUUUUGCUGCGUGAGGGGCCUUGGCCGAUCGCCGGGCGCCUGCGUUGGCCUGCGGCGACCCCGCGGACCGGCCCUUCCCGCCCGAGCCUCCGUCCGGGCCUCCCGCGGCCGGGCGUCACCCCCACACCGAGCCCGAGAGGGUGUCCUCCCAACGGCGACCGCGGGCCUGGUUAGUGACUCCGAGGCGGAAUUCUCGCCCGCGUGCCUUUCCCGGUCUUCCCCUUCCUUCCCUGUUUAGUAAAGCUUGUAACCCUCGCUGAGUAUCUGGCCGCCUCUCCCCUCUGCCUCCGGAAUUUCAACGGGGUGGUAACGCUUCCGUCUCUGCCUCUGGCUUUGUUCUCUCUGAUUCUGGUAGCGAUAUUGUUCCGAAGAGAAUUGGCAGUUUGUGGUAACCGAGGUGUUGAACCGGCGACCUCGACGUGGGUUUUUCCGGUGUCAGUAAUCGCCUCUGAACAGAGUGAAGGGCGUUAUUAGGAAUCGCGUUUCACCGGAGAGCAGAGUGGCGCAGCGGAAGCGUGCUGGGCCCAUAACCCAGAGGUCGAUGGAUCGAAACCAUCCUCUGCUAUCUGCUUUUUUUCCUGCAACUUUUUAGUUUCUGUAGCCUCGUUUCACAGUAGGGGAAGAAAAUAGAGCCUGUUUUGCUUCAUUCUGGAGUGAAAAUUAUUUCCUGAAAAUAAACGUGAAACUGUUUACAUUCUCCAGAGAGAAAAAGACCGUCGCUCAUGGAUACUCAGUUAUCAUUAAUUAAGAUGUUCCCCCACCACAAGCUAUAUUUCUAGUGGUGGCCAAAGGGAUCGUGACAGUCCCAUUGCCCUAUGAACCUGGGAAAACGCUAAAAUAAGCUGAGUGUAAGGGUGAGGACAGGGAUGGAAGCCGAGAGAAGGCGUUUUCUUUCCUUCUGUAUGUAAUUCAGAAAAGCUCUACUUGUUAGUGAGCUGUGGCCACGUGGCUAAAGCCAUAGACCAAUCUGCUGGGCCCUCCCAGCGCCAAAUCUUUGCAACUACCAGAGUCGGAAACUUUGGAAUAAAUAAGUAGCAGUUUGAGACAGAGUGCAAAGUUUUGGUGGCCACGAUUGAACUCUGACUUGGGAAAACCACUUACGUGGUUGAUGCUGGUAAAUGUGUUUCUACCGCCUGCCUCCCUUUACCAGUCUCCAACAGAGGUGCUCUCUAUGCUCAUGUUUAAAGUGUAUGUUUUAUAUUUCUCUCAGAAAAGAUCCCUGUUCAUAUACUUACGUUGUAAUAGGUCAACUUACAAGAUAUCAGAAAGCUUAUUGUAUAUAAGUUCAGCUUAAACUCACCUUUCAUGAAUAAUUGAGAUAAUAGCUUUUGUAGUUCCCUAAUACGGAAAUUGACCGCCCUAUGUCGCUGUAACUUUGCCUGCUUGCUAAAUAGAUACCUUAGGCUGCAAAACGCUCCCCCACCCCUUCUACCAAGAUCUGGCCAGGGAAGACCAACAUGUAAAAAUUCACCAACUCACUGCCCCACGGUAUCUUAGGUGUCUAACUACAGUUGGUCAUUUUAAACCCUCUUAGGACAAAGAACUUUAAAUUGAUAGGUUCCCACCAAAACUAAGGUCUCUGUGUCACAAUAGAAUUGGCUACCAUGAAAUGCUGUAAAUUGCAAUUGGUUAACUAAAUAAUGACCUAUUCUGACUUGCUACAAUCCAUAGAAGCUCACUGCUACCUUUGUUCGGGGCCAUUCUCUACACUUUUCUCCUUAAGAUCAGGAGAUCAGGUUUGGCCCGGCCUCGCUUCUAUUCAGUGUCUGGUGGGUUUUUUGUUUUUGUUUUUGUUUUUGUUUUUGUUUUUUUGACAGCACCCUGUUUCAACGUGAUACUGUGCUAAGCAUGAAGUGUUCAAGUAACCUACAGUCUAGACAUGCUUUUAAACAAGUAUACAACUGGAGGCGGUCUGCCCCCCACAGUACACCAGACGGCCGGACAGGCCAUGCUCGACGCUGGACAGAUGAGAUUGGUGGCCGUUUCCGGUCACACGCACUCACAGCCCGGAAGGGGAGGGCACCGCAUGCCGCACAAGGUCGCACGGCUGCAAUCUCCAAUCGAGUGAGCCAGCAAGGGCUGCGGGAGCCUCUCCAUUCACAGACAAGAAUAAGCGUACUAACAUCUUGGAACUUGGCGAACGUGAUCGUUGCCAAGGGAGGAGAAAAUGACCCGUAAAGCACACUAGACCAGGAGGCCAAAACAUCUGCACACCCCUGCAAACAGGCAGGUGAACGUGACAGAUGGACCGAACCCCAACUCAGCCUUCACUGGCCUCCGUCGCAUAACCAGGCCCGUAUCAGCAGCACGUUUCUGGUCAACAACCAGCAAAUGUCCAAAGUUUUCGCCAUCAUCUCCCGCCACAGGUAUCUGGGAUAUAGGUCCCUCGGGUCUCACCAGACACUGUGUUGAUGCCUGAGGGGAAAUGUCAUGGAAACUGAGACACCAGUCAUCUGCAAAAAUUCUUUGGCAACCGCCCCCUGGUUUUUCAGCUCGGCGGCUGAGUUCCAGCCCCACGUCUCACUCUGCACUGGCAACGUGGAGCCCGCUUGGGGUUCUCUCCACCCUUCCCCUGCUCGCUCGCUCGCUCUCAAAAUAAAUAAAACAAUUCUUUGGGCUGGAUAUCCUCGCUGGGGAAUCUUCCCGUAGAUCAUGUCUCCACCGGGUCAGGUCUCCACCGGGACAAAUCCGUAGUCAGAUUUUUGCUGGAUGAAGGAAUCUUUGAGCUCCAUAAUCCCCACAUUAGAGGCGAUGGCAAAAUUCCCAAGAAAUAUGUAUGUGAGAGAUUGAGCACAUGUUUAUUGAGCUCCUACUAUUUGCCUGAUGUUAUUCCAUGGACAGGGAAAGAAGGACUACGUAAAGAAUCCCAUGUCUGUGCUCCGGAAGCUGCUGAUUUACUAGUCAACACAAGCCAAGAUCUAUCACAAAUGAGCCAAGAGGGCCAGUGCUCCCAAGGUCUGGGACUUAAGAAAAUUAAGGAAAUGCAGCGUGUGUAGAUUGUCGACAGUAUCCUUAAACAAGGUCACACAGAUUCACUGAUGAACUCGAAAGAAGCCAUCCAAAAUAUCAAAAUAUAAGUGUAAAUCUCUUCCACUUUAUUGGGCCCAGCACUCUACAGAGCAUCAUCAAUUCUAUAAACACCUCGGCCAUAGAAUGGUUUUAUUGCAACACGUUCCGGUGUUGAGUCAUCUACCAAAUGUAAAACUCGUUAACCAUGUCUGUGACAACGCGACAGUGUUUCUCUCUUCAUGUACGGGAACCUCAAAUAAUAUCAAUGAGCCUGGACCACUCCAAGGGCCUAAGCGACGCCAACAAAAAGCACGCUCUUCUCCAGAUAGAGACACGCUGUGACAAGCGCUCUGGUGGCAGGUGACAACGAUCGCAGAGUACCAGAGUGUGGGCAGGGGAGACUUGUUAGGCCCUGGGGCCUGCAAGACAGCGACAAGGACGCCGGUGCGGGUGCUGACUGCUUUGUGGGGGCGGUGACACCAUCGCCGGGCCGGCGGGCGGCCCGGCACCGAGGGUCUAAGACGAGUGACUGUGGCGGAAUAUUAACAGGGAAGACGCUCUGAGUUCGCUUCUAUCCCUGGAUGCAGACGAGAGGCGCUGCUUUGGCAUCUCUUCGGUCCCACGAACAGGUUUUCAGCUCGGGAGUGGGAAUGGGAGUGACUUUUCUCCCCACGCUGUACCCAUCAUAAUUGUCAGAUCCUACCCGCGGUGAGUCCCGACUCCCGGGGCCUCAAAUAACCCGGGUAAUCUAGUGUAGAAAGCGCGGGCGGUGGGCGCGCUCUUUUGAGACUCAGGACCCGGCGGAAAGCUCAUUAUACUUUCCAAGUGUUGCCACAGGCACGUGU